UACGCUGCAGCCCAUAAGGCCCAUUGCUCAAUUCCUUUGCACCUGGAAGCUUCCAGGCAAGAGGCGAACAGGCACAGGCGGAACAAUCAAUUCUCUCUCGUUCUCUGUUCGUGAGCUAGGGCGGCGAUUCGCGGAUGGUGUGGGCGUGACCGGCCGGGCAGCCGGCGGUGGCGCGGGGUGCCGGCAACGGCGGUCAGACUACUUCCAUCACGAGAAACUCCUUUUCACCUCUUGGCUACGCACGGUGAGAACUGAGAAAGCUAACUGCCUCCAUCCUCUGGUGAUCUGAUCUCCGGCCGUGCGACGAAAGCUCCGCUUCAAUUCUCACUGCAGGUAGGAAGUAGCGAUGGGCAAGGCCAAAACCAUCGAUUCAUUUUACAGAAAAAAGAGAGAUGAAUUUGAAGCUGAUGAACUAGUACUUCCUGAACGUGAAGAACCCACUGCACCUGUUCUGCCCCCUCUCUUGUUGCUUGAAUUUGAACAAAAUCAUGAAGAGCAAGUGCAUCCAACUCAAACAAAUGAAGUUGUAUUUCGUGGCAUUGAAUAUUUGGAGCGGGAUCCAGCCCUACGUCCACAGAUUUGGCAAUAUCCAGUCAGUCAAAGAGAUGACGUGCGCCGAGCAUAUUUGAAACUAGGCCCUAUGCAGCCACUUCUGAAGAACUACAAAGCAUAUGGUACUGGAAGUCAGAAAUGCCGGUUUAAGUACAAUUGGUUCAGUCUUUUCCUAGCAUGGUUGCAGUACUCGGAAAGUAGCCACCGUGCAUAUUGUUUGUUUUGCUUUUUGUCUAGUAGAAACAAAAACAAGCGAGGUGGUUCCGAUGUAUUCACAGUACAUGGAUUUGUAAAUUGGAAGAAAGUGAAUGACGGAAGAAAGUGUGCAUUCUUGAACCACAUUGGUGCUGAACCUUGCUCUGAACAUAACAAUGCAACCAAAGCAUGUCAAGAUUUGUUGAAUGAAACAGGCCAUAUAGCAUGUUAGGUUUCACGGUGUAUGCACACACACGAGUGAUGCUGAAGCUCUUGAUUUAUUUCUCUACGUAAUAGCUUAUCUUACAAGUGAUGAGUACAUGUCCUUAUAUAGGACUCAGGAACCGUCUAUCCUAGAGAUGGAGUUCAAAUUUGAUUUGAACUCUACUACCUUAGCUACUAAGCAACGGCUGAGUUCAAGUUUGUUUUGAACUCUACUACCUUAGCUACUAAGCAACGGCUGAGUUCAAGUUUGUUUUGAACUCUACUACCUUAGCUACUACUACUCUACUUGCAACAUGAUUAAAACAACAAUUCUCCCCCUAAUCUAGUUGCGGUAGAGGUUGAUGA